GUAACUUCGGGAGAAGGUGUGCCCUCAUUAUGUGAACUGCGAACGCAGGGAGCGGACGGGGGUUGCAGAGAAUCGGGGGUAGCGACUGUUUACCAAAAACACAGCACUCUGCGAAGUCGCAAGACGACGUAUAGGGUCUGACGCCUGCCCGGUGCCUGAAGGUUAAAAGGAGGGGUGAGAGCUCUGAAUUGAAGCCCAGGUAAACGGCGA
rnacentral:rRNA from 1 species